UACGUAGGGUGCAGGCGUAAUCGGAAUUACUGGGCGUAAAGCGUGCGCAGGCGGCUUCCUAAGUCAGAUGUGAAAUCCCCGGGCUCAACCUGGGAACUGCGUUUGAAACUGGGAGGCUAGAGUGCGGCAGAGGGGGGUGGAAUUCCACGUGUAGCAGUGAAAUGCGUAGAUAUGUGGAGGAACACCGAUGGCGAAGGCAGCCCCCUGGGCCAGCACUGACGCUCAUGCACGAAAGCGUGGGGAGCAAACAGG
rnacentral:rRNA from 1 species